rnacentral:lncRNA from 1 species
AAGAGGAUCCAUGUACAUAUAAAAAAAUGAAAAGUAAAGAUUAAUGUACCUAUGGGCAGAAAACUGGAGAUAUUCUGCUGGGAAUAUUAUAAAAAGCAAAACGUGAGGCAGCACAGUACCCUGGAAUGGACUGGGAAAUAGAAGCGAGAGAUUACUGCAGAAGAUUUUGCCCCUGAGCUCUGAAGGUCUGUGCAAGACAUUGUGGUUUUUCUUGACUCGCUUGUAUGAAGCAUUAAGGUCACUGUCUUCACCUCUCCAUGAAGUAGUUAGAGCCAAUGCAAGAGCUGAUCUGUUGUGUUGAGACCGAAAAGAACACAGGAGACAGAAAAGAACCAGAAACAGACAGGGGAGACACAGGCAGGGAGAACAAACCAAGAGAGAAUUAUAAAUAAUAAGAAAGGCCAAGGGCUGUCG